CAAGUCUGAUCAGGGUUCAUACAGAUGUGAGCUUCAGGACUCUGCACAAAAGGUCCUGACUUCUCCAGAGAGUUGGCUGUCUGUCACAUUGACCAGAGAGAAGAGCUUUCCUGUUUUUGCUGUGAUGAGGUUGGUAGCUGGCAUGAUUGUCCUACUCAUUCUGCUACUGAUUCUGUGGCACUACUGUAACACCAAAGAUUUGUUCUUUGUCAGGUCCAAGGAAACCAAACGGACACGUGCUGAAGAUCAUGUGAC